rnacentral:rRNA from 1 species
CAUGCAGUCGAGCGGUAACAGAUCCAGCUUGCUGGAUGCUGACGAGCGGCGGACGGGUGAGUAAUGCAUAGGAAUCUGCCCGAUAGUGGGGGAUAACCUGGGGAAACCCAGGCUAAUACCGCAUACGUCCUACGGGAGAAAGGGGGCUUUGGCUCCCGCUAUCGGAUGAGCCUAUGUCGGAUUAGCUAGUUGGUGAGGUAACGGCUCACCAAGGCAACGAUCCGUAGCUGGUCUGAGAGGAUGAUCAGCCACAUCGGGACUGAGACACGGCCCGAACUCCUACGGGAGGCAGCAGUGGGGAAUAUUGGACAAUGGGGGCAACCCUGAUCCAGCCAUGCCGCGUGUGUGAAGAAGGCCCUCGGGUUGUAAAGCACUUUCAGCGAGGAAGAACGCCUAGCGGUUAAUACCCGCUAGGAAAGACAUCACUCGCAGAAGAAGCACCGGCUAACUCCGUGCCAGCAGCCGCGGUAAUACGGAGGGUGCAAGCGUUAAUCGGAAUUACUGGGCGUAAAGCGCGCGUAAGUGGCUUGA